rnacentral:rRNA from 1 species
UACGAAGGGUGCAAGCGUUACUCGGAAUUACUGGGCGUAAAGCGUGCGUAGGUGGUGAGUUAAGUCUGUCGUGAAAGCCCCGGGCUCAACCUGGGAAUGGCGAUGGAUACUGGCUCGCUAGAGUGCGGUAGAGGAGAGUGGAAUUUCCGGUGUAGCGGUGAAAUGCGUAGAUAUCGGAAGGAACAUCAGUGGCGAAAGCGACUUCCUGGACCAAUACUGACGCUCAUGUGCGAAAGCGUGGGGAGCAAACAGG